GUGCUUAAAGAAUAAGAAAAUGUAGAACAUCAACAAAAGUUCAGCUGGACCGCAGAGAUCUUCAACUAGCAGGUGAAUUUUUGUAGUUGCAACAUAACAACCCUAAAGAAGGUAAGUGCUACUGUGAAGACAUAGCUACAGACUGAAGCGAAGGUUUCACACCAACAAUCUGCUCAUUGACGUGAGUAGAGUGCCUAGAGACUCACUGUGAUCAGAGAAGGGAUCUGGUCUGGGACUCAUCCUUCUUAUGUGCCUGGCCCAGGACGCAACCUCAUUGCAGCCAAAAGAAGAGACUUUACUAAGAAAAUAAAUGCAUGUUGAGAGCAAUUCAUAUGUUGUUUGGGACAAAUCAUCCCACACAUCAUAGCUGUCCAGCAUCCAUUCUCUUCUUUUACAGAUCUAUUGCUCUAAUGAGUCCUAUUAAUGUAAGGUCUUGCAGCCUAACUAAUUUUCCUCCAGGACACACGCAAGAUAAUACUGGGAGAAGAAGCCUCAUUGUUCCCUUUGCACUUUACAAUUCUUAGAUACCUGGUUGAUGGGAUUUUAAUGAGAAGAAAUAAUCUGUCUUUCAGGAUGCAAUAGGACUGUUGUUUUUUUUGUGUGUGGUUUUUUUUUUAAUACCUUUUUUUUAUUUAUUUAUCUAUUUAAGACAGAUGAUGGUUAUUUCCCCUCAUUAGGAUGUUAAUGAGAUGCUGACAAGUAUUUGGUAUUUUUAGCACAAUUAACUCUAGGGCUAUUUUUGAUCUUUUCAAGCUAUUUUUCAAUGUGCUUUAUUUCUUAAGCAGCUCAUGAUAUAAUUAGGAAUAGUUACACAGUUCAGGCAAAACCACAGAAACAGCAAAACCCAGCCCUUCUGGAUUCUACUAAAAGAAAAAAAAGAAAAAAGAAAAAAGAGAAAAUUUUUGAGUAAGGUUGUAAUAAACGUUAUGCAGAUUACAUCCAUGCAAUUAAAGUUGAACCCAUCCUGGUGUACGAUAUUAAGGAUUCUGUUCUGAAAAAUGAGCUUUUCUCUAUUUAUUCCUUGAAGUGAACAAUCACCCAGUGAAAACAAAAGCUCCUGCUGAAGACAACAGAAGAUAGAGGAUGGAGUAACCUAUCUGGAAAGAAGAAGAACUGCAGAAGCCUUUGACACUCACUGUUUUCAAGAUCUGGGAAAGCUUUCCUCCUGCAAGGAGCAGAAACAUUCACUGGCUUGUUUCAGUCAGUGUGAAAGCCAGGAGCAGAAUGGAGACAACCUGGUUCCCACCUCUGAGACAGAAUAUAUUUCUCUGCAUUUUUAACUGUCCUUACCUUGGCUGCUUUGGAUUCUCUGAAUUUCUGAGUUGAAAAGGUAAUUUUCUAGCUACUAAUGACUAAAUCUAAUUACUGCUCUGUGAAGAAA